rnacentral:rRNA from 1 species
UAGGGAAUCUUCCACAAUGGACGCAAGUCUGAUGGAGCAACGCCGCGUGAGUGAAGAAGGUUUUCGGAUCGUAAAGCUCUGUUGUUGGUGAAGAAGGAUAGAGGUAGUAACUGGCCUUUAUUUGACGGUAAUCAACCAGAAAGUCACGGCUAACUACGUGCCAGCAGCCGCGGUAAUACGUAGGUGGCAAGCGUUGUCCGGAUUUAUUGGGCGUAAAGCGAGCGCAGGCGGAAGAAUAAGUCUGAUGUGAAAGCCCUCGGCUUAACCGAGGAACUGCAUCGGAAACUGUUUUACUUGAUUGCAGAAGAGGAGAGUGGAACUCCAUGUGUAGCGGUGGAAUGCGUAGAUAUAUGGGAGAACACCAGUGGCGAAGGCGACUCUCUGGUCUGCAACUGACGCUGAGGCUCGAAAGCAUGGGUAGCGAACAGG